GUUAUUUUAUGAUGCAGAUGAGGACAGUGUUGCACAGGACCUUGCUGUACAAGGGAUGAAAAUCUACAGCAUCCAGACUAAUCCAUCAGAGGGGAGACAGGACAUCGGAGUUGUGAUAGAAGGAACAAAGGUCCUGACUGGUCUGGGUAACUUUCCAAGGGCUUGUGCCAUGCUCAUGGGAUUGACGUAUGCAGUGAAUCUUGCCUAUCCCAAGGAACUCAGAAUGUGGAUGGUUGAGAAGCCGGUGAAGGAUUAUCUCCUUGUUCCUGCACCAGCAGCUCCUGCUGUUUGGUGAGAUCUGAGAUGAUAGCAUGAAGCUCUUUGGGUAAAGAAGAAAAAGGAGAAGAGAGUCAUGGGUGUCAAGAGGUUUUCAGAACAGUGGUGCAAAUCACAACUUUGACGUUUCAAAUCAGGCUGAAGAGGGUGAAAACUUAAAACAACUCACUGAUAUGUUCAGCAGGCAGAAAAGAGAGAAUUUUGAGAAUUAAGAAUCAGCGGCUGAAAAGCAUUACAUUCAUAUAACCUGCUGUCAGGAAAUCAAACUAUAAAAGACAAACAAUCAGCAAACAUGGACACUGAACAGGAUGAUGGGAAUCCAGUAAGAUCUUGCAUUGAAAAUAUUGCAUCAGCAAACCUUCAGGUCAGGGUGACAGAAUUUCCUUGAACAUCGAGAAAGUCUUUUUAUAACCAAGUACACUAGUUGCAACUCAGGGUGUGUAUCGAACUGCCCUCUAGUUCAGUAAGCAGUGAGUCACUCUACAGUGAAUAUUUUGGGAACUGAUUAGGUAACUGAUUCAAUAAACACUGAGACAGUGAUGAGUCAGUGACCUGCAGUGCAGAAAAUGCUAAUACAGCACUUGAUAAUGAUAUCACAUUGGGGGAAAA